GCAUAAUCAUUUGCCCCCUAAUUAGGGGCUGGAAUGAAGGGAUAUACUAAAUUAAUUCUGUCUCUUUUUUAAUUAUAAAAAUUGUUUUUUAGGUGAAGACUCCUAAAUAUUAAUGAAAGACAAAAAGACCCUAUUGAGCUUUAUUUAAGGCGGGAAUUUUAGAUUAAUUUACUUUUUUACUUAAAUUAAAUUUGGUUGGGGCGACAAGAGAAUAAAUAAAUCUUCUCUUAAUGUAAAGAGAUAUAUCUCUUUUUGUAGAUCUAUAGAUGUGAUAUAAAGAAAUAGUUACCAUAGGGAUAACAGGCUAAUCUUUUUGGAGAGUUCAAAUUGAUAAAAAGGGUUGGCACCUCGAUGUUGGCUUAAAGUAUCCUAUGGGUGUAGCAGCCUAUAAGGGUUGGUUUGUUCAACCAUUAAAACUUUA
rnacentral:rRNA from 1 species